UCCCUGGUGGCUCAGAUGGUAAAGAAUCUGUCUGCAAUGCAGGAGACUCAGGUUCAAUCCCUGAGUUGGGAA
rnacentral:tRNA from 1 species